rnacentral:rRNA from 1 species
GACCGAGGAGGCAAGCGUUAUCCGGAAUUAUUGGGCGUAAAGCGUGCGUAGGUGGUUUGACAAGUCUGGGGUUAAAGCCCGGGGCCCAACUCCGGAUCGGCCCUGGAAACUGUCAGACUUGAGUAAGGUAGGGGUUGCGGGAAUUCCCGGUGUAGCGGUGAAAUGCGUAGAUAUCGGGAAGAACACCAGCGGCGAAAGCGCGCAACUGGGCCAUUACUGACACUGAGGGACGAAAGCUAGGGGAGCGAAUGGG